rnacentral:rRNA from 1 species
GAUGAACGCUGGCGGCGUGCCUAAUACAUGCAAGUCGAGCGAAUGGAUUAAGAGCUUGCUCUUAUGAAGUUAGCGGCGGACGGGUGAGUAACACGUGGGUAACCUGCCCAUAAGACUGGGAUAACUCCGGGAAACCGGGGCUAAUACCGGAUAACAUUUUGAACCGCAUGGUUCGAAAUUGAAAGGCGGCUUCGGCUGUCACUUAUGGAUGGACCCGCGUCGCAUUAGCUAGUUGGUGAGGUAACGGCUCACCAAGGCAACGAUGCGUAGCCGACCUGAGAGGGUGAUAGGCCACACGGGGACUGAGAACCGGCCCAGACUCCUACGGGAGGCAACAGUAGGGAAUCUUCCGCAAUGGACGAAAGUCUGACGGAGCAACGCCGCGUGAGUGAUGAAGGCUUUCGGGUCGUAAAACUCUGUUGUUAGGGAAGAACAAGUGCUAGUUGAAUAAGCUGGCACCUUGACGGUACCUAACCAGAAAGCCACGGCUAACUACGUGCCAGCCGCCGCCGUAA